UACGUAGGGUGCAAGCGUUGUCCGGAAUUAUUGGGCGUAAAGAGCUCGUAGGCGGUCUGUCGCGUCGGCUGUGAAAUCCCGAGGCUCAACCUCGGGUCUGCAGUCGAUACGGGCGGACUGGAGUUCGGCAGGGGAGACUGGAAUUCCUGGUGUAGCGGUGAAAUGCGCAGAUAUCAGGAGGAACACCGGUGGCGAAGGCGGCUCUCUGGGCCUUACCUGACGCUGAGGAGCGAAAGCGUGGGUAGCGAACAGG
rnacentral:rRNA from 1 species